UACGUAGGGUGCGAGCGUUGUCCGGAAUUAUUGGGCGUAAAGAGCUUGUAGGCGGUUUGUCGCGUCUGCUGUGAAAAUCCGGGGCUCAACCCCGGACUUGCAGUGGGUACGGGCAGACUAGAGUGUGGUAGGGGAGACUGGAAUUCCUGGUGUAGCGGUGGAAUGCGCAGAUAUCAGGAGGAACACCGAUGGCGAAGGCAGGUCUCUGGGC
rnacentral:rRNA from 1 species